GAUGAAGAACGUAGCGAAAUGCGAUAAGUAAUGUGAAUUGCAGAAUUCAGUGAAUCAUCGAAUCUUUGAACGCACAUUGCGCCCGCCUGUAUUCUGGCGGGCAUGCCUGUUCGAGCGUCAUUUCAACCCUCAAGCCCCCGGGCUUGGUGUUGGGGAUCGGCGUGCCCUCGCGGCGCGCCGUCCCCUAAAUCUAGUGGCGGUCUCGCUGUAGCUUCCUCUGCGUAGUAGCAACACUCGCACUGGAUCGCAGCGCGGCCACGCCGUUAAACCCCCCACUUCUGAAAGUUUGACCUCGGAUCAGGUAGGAAUACCCGCUGAACUUAAGCAUAUCAAUAAGCGGAGGA
rnacentral:misc_RNA from 1 species